GGAUUUCCCAACAGACAGCAAGAAGUACUGCUACACACUCACCACUGAAGAAAGACGGCGCUACAUUGUCCGCGCCACCUUCUUGUACGGGGCUUCGGUCAGCCAAGGCGCCUACCCCAAGUUCCAGCUCUACCUGGAUACAACAAAAUGGUCGACAGUGACGGUUAUGGAAGCUUCUAGAAUAUAUGUUAAGGAGAUGAUCAUAAGGGCGCCGUCUCACUCUGUGGACGUGUGCCUGUGCUGCGCAACCACGGGCUCUCCGUUCAUAUCAACUCUCGAGAUGCGGCCUUUAAACCUGUCAAUGUAUCCACUGAUUAUGAAGAUGAUUUCUACAUGAAAGUGGCGGCACGAGUCAAUUUUGGUGCCCCGAGCCAAGAAGCUAUAAGGUUAAUUGUGUUUGCAAAAUGAUUUCCUCACAUUGCAAUGUACUGAAUGGAAGUUCUCGCGCAGGUACCCCGAUGACCCCUACGACCGAAUAUGGGAAUCUGAUCUUGAUCGAAGGCCGAAUUUCCUGGUUGGGGUGGCACCUGGUACAGAGAGAAUCAACACUACCAGAAACAUAGAUGUAAAUACAAGAGAAUAUCCACCUGUUAAAGUAAUGCAGACUGCAGUUAUCGGGACUAAAGGAAGCCUCAGCUACCGGUUGAAUCUAGAGGACUUUCCAGCUAAUGCUCGAGCUUAUGCAUACUUCGCUGAGAUUCAAGAUUUGGGAUCAAAUGAGACGCGGAAAUUCAAAAUGGAGCAGCCUUACAAUCCUGACUACAGCAAUGCAGUGGUGAACAUAGCUGAGAAUGCCAACGGAAGUUAUACACUGUAUGAGCCUAGCUACAUGAAUGUGUCGUUGGAUUUUGUUCUGACAUUUGCAUUUGUCAAAACUCGGGAUUCAACACAAGGACCAAUUCUCAACGCAAUGGAAAUAAGCAGAUAUCUAGAGAUUGCUGCUAAGACAGAUGAGAAAGAUGGUAGGAACAUGAUUUCACAUUAUCCGUUUUUCAGAAAUUGCAAUGCAUGAAUACUUACUUACUAGUCUUUUCUUCCAUUCGAAAGAGAGCAGCCUAAGUGUCCUGCGUUCUAUGUUUGCUCAAAG
rnacentral:lncRNA from 1 species